rnacentral:tRNA from 1 species
GGAUAUACAUACUCAGUGGUAGAGUGCAUGCUUACCAUGCACAAGGUCCUGGGUUCAAUCCUCAGUAUCUCCA